rnacentral:rRNA from 1 species
GUGUCAGCCGCCGCGGUAACACGGAGGGAGCAAACGUUGUUCGGAAUCACUGGGCGUAAAGGGCGCGUAGGCGGUUCUACAAGUCAGAGGUGAAAUCCCGUGGCCCAACCACGGGCCUGCCUUUGAAACUGUGGAACUUGAGGCCGUGAGGGGAGAGCGGAAUUCCUGGUGUAUCGGUGAAAUGAGUUGAUAUCAGGAGGAACACCGGUGGCGAAGGCGGCUCUCUGGCACGAGUCUGACGCUGAGGUGCGAAAGCAUGGGGAGCAAACGGGAUUAGAAACCCCUGUAGUCC